ensembl:lncRNA
UUUUACUUUGAAUAUAGAGAGAAGACGUUGAGAUUAAAAGAAGACGGUUUAAAAAUGAACGUGACAACCUUUUAAAAAUUCAACGUCUUUACUGACCCAAUUAAUUAAACCAAAUUGAAUUAUUCGAUGAUAUUUUAAAGUUAAAGUGUUUUACGUGAGUUUGAUAGAAAAGGUACAGUUGUACAGUUGAAAAUACGCGAUUUAUGUUUUGUGCUAGUUGAGUGCUAACUUGUACCUAGCUAGCUAGCUACACCGAGCUACAGCGGACCUGCUGGACAAAGAUGUGUGCUUGAAACCUUUGAAGAUCGAAAUGAAAAUUGUCAUUGUGGAAUCAUCUACAGUGAAUACUGACUGACUGAUUGACUAAAUACUCCUUGAAAACAACGACAACUAGAUGGCGAGCCUCCCACCGAACAACAGAAAAAUACGGAUUCCACACCACAUCCAAUCCAACCAACUGACUGAGAACUGUUUGAUAGCUUGAUAGCUGAAGUUCCACGGAUACGUAAUUAGGAUUCCUCCGUCAGGAGGAAACCUAUUGUUAUUGUAGGUUUUCUUAUUAUUAUGUUUGUACCAUGGGAGUCAAUGGCAGCCCCUAGAACCGUAUGGUAACUUUUUCUGAAAUUUGGCACACUCAUUAAGGACAAUCCCUUCUUUACUCACACCAAGUUUCAUGUCUCCCACUAGACCACACUAGCGCCACCAACGGGUCAAAGUUGGACUUUUGUUAACACACACAACUUUUGAACCGUUUGACCGAUUUUCAAAAAUGAGGUACCAUUGGAUUCCUUGGAUCAAGACGAAUUCAACAUUCAAUGGCGACAAUUUUCGGUUGUAUAGAUUUUCUGUUAUUCCCGGUUUUAUCAAAAAACCUUUGAAAGCCUACUCCUCCUACAAUUUUGGUCAAAUCUUCUUCAAAAUCACCAGAGAUGAUCUUCAGACCAAGCCUCACAAAAAACAAAGAAUAAAAUUUUGAUCCUCACAACCGUUUGUCCGGUAUAGCCACUCAAAUUCAGCAGAAACAGGAAGUGAAGUAAAAUGUAACCAAAACUUUGAGAUGUAAAUCUGGGUGACAUUGGUACAGGGGUAGAGAAGUAAUUUUGUAUUCAGAAGGUUGUUAGUUCAAUUCCCUGCUAAAGCGUCCUUUAGCAAGACACUUCUUUCUUCACUCUUCUUUCCUCUAUUCUUUCCUUCUUCCACUCUUCUUUCCUUCUUUUACUCUUCUUUCCAAAAUUGUAAAGAAUAUACAUUUUCCCCUGGUUUCGCAAUCUUAGGAGGAAUCCGCAUCGCUGCUUGCAGCUAUAUUACUUUACUUGUUCUUUUUG